CCAGGAGCUGCUGCCCUUCUGACCACCUCACUCAGUAACUGCUCUCUGCUUGGGUGCACGUGCUGGAAGCUAUUACUCAACAAAUAAUACAAAUAUAAGAAAUAAACACUAAACAGGGCUUAUUGUCACAAGGUAGCCAGACAAGAGGAGUGAGAAGGUGCAUAAGCAUUGGGCAUGUAAGUUGUGUCUGUUUCCUUGGAGGCAGAAACGCUCAUGCUCUCCCAGUUUACUUGGGUGCAAUUUUACUCUCAAGACCUUCUGAGCCUGUUUGAGCCUUGAAGGGCAUGCACAGUGGAGCCGUGAGUAUUUCUUUACUUGGGGAGCUGCCACAUUUCAGUGGGAAGGUUACCUUCCUGUGUGGAAGGGAAAGAAUAGUGUCAUGAAGGAAUCCCUGGCUUUAAUUGCAUCCUGUGUCAUUCUGCCUGGAAGGAUGUUUAAUGGGGGUUGCUCUGUCCUGCGUUUGUUUGCAGAUGUGACUGGAGCAGGCGAUCCAGGAUCUGCUCUGAACUCUGGGACUGAAACUCUGGAGGAUGGCAUGGAAGUGCCCCCGUGGAUGUCUUUGCCCGGUCGUUCGUUUCCUCCUGUGCUGAAGCCCAGCUGGAAUCCCAGCAGUCUGGAAAGAGGAAAGGAUGAAUCCAAAGGAGGAAGAAACUCCCAGGCUCAUCCCGUCUCCUAAAGGAACUGCGGAAGGAAAUGGAGAAGGCAGUGUUGUUCUUUAAACUAGCAAAUUUUCCAUAGCAACAAAAAAAUAAAAGCACUUAUAGAAGUUUUUGUUGUUGUUGU
rnacentral:lncRNA from 1 species